GAUGAACGCUGGCGGCGUGCCUAACACAUGCAAGUCGAACGGGUCUUAUUUAACGCAGGCUUCGGCCCAAGGAGAAUAAGUACUAGUGGCGGACGGGUGAGUAACGCGAGGGUCAUCUGCCCUCUGUAGGGGAAUAACUGUGAGAAGUCACAGCUAAAACCGCAUAAGCUUACAGUAUCGCAUGGUAGAGUGAGAAAAACUACGGUACCAGGGGAGGAGCCCGCGUCUGAUUAGCUAGUUGGCGGGGUAGAGGCCCACCAAGGCGACGAUGGGUAGCCGGACUGAGAGGUUGAACGGCCACAAUGGGACUGAGACACGGCCCAGACUCCUACGGGAGGCAGCAGUGGGGAAUAUUGCGCAAUGGGGGAAACCCUGACGCAGCAACGCCGCGUGAUUGAAGAAGGCCUUCGGGUUGUAAAGAUCUUUAAUCAGGGACGGAGGAAGUGACGGUACCUGAAGAAUAAGCUCCGGCUAACUACGUGCCAGCAGCCGCCGUAAAAC
rnacentral:rRNA from 1 species